GGCCGUGUAGUACAGUUGGCAGAGUAUUGGGCUAGUAAUCCAAAGGUCGUAGGUUCGAUUCCCACCAUGGCCG
rnacentral:tRNA from 1 species